rnacentral:misc_RNA from 1 species
GAUGAAGAACGCAGUGAAAUGCGAUAAGUAAUGUGAAUUGCAGAAUUCAGUGAAUCAUCGAAUCUUUGAACGCACCUUGCGCCCUUUGGCUAUUCCGAAGGGCAUGCCUGUUUGAGUAUCGUGAACACCUCAACUCUCAUGGUCUGCCAUGAUGAGCUUGGACUUUGGGGGUCUUGCCGGCCUAGCGUCGGCUCCUCUCAAAUGGAUCAGCUUGCCAGUGUUUGGUGGCAUCACAGGUGUGAUAACUAUCUACGCUUGUGGUUUUCUACCAUGUAACCUUCAGCGAUGGAGGUUCGCUGGGGCUCACAGACGUCUCUCCUUGGAGGACAGCUUUUUGAACGUUUGAUCUCAAAUCAGGUAGGACUACCCGCUGAACUUAAGCAUAUCAAUAAGCGGAGGA